UGUAAAUAUUUUACUUUGAAACUGCGAACGGCUCAUUAUGUCAGUUAUGAUUUAUUUGAUAGUCCCUUACUACUUGGAUAACCGUAGUAAUUCUAGAGCUAACACAUGCGUCAAUGCCCUUCUGGGGGUAGUAUUUAUUAGAUGGAAACCAACCCCUUCGGGGUGAUGUGGUGAAUCAUAAUAAGCUUGCGGAUCGCAUGGCUUCGGCCGGCGAUGGAUCAUUCAAGUUUCUUCCCUAUCAGCUUUGGAUGGUAGGGUGUUGGCCUACCAUGGCUUUAACGGGUGACGGGAAAUUAGGGUGAGAGACGGCUACCACCUCCAAGGAAGGCAGCAGGCGCGUAAAUUACCCAAUCCUGACACAGGGAGGCAGUGACAAUAAAUAACAAUGCCGGGCCAUCAUUGGUCUGGCAAUUGGAAUGAGAACAAUUGAAAUCCCUUAUCGAGGAUCAAUUGGUGGGCAAGUCUGGUGCCAGCAGCCGCGGUAAUUCCAGCUCCAACAGCGUGUGUUAAAGUUGUUGCAGUUAAAAAGCUCAUAGUUGGAUUUGUGGCGCACGGUGUGUUCCGGGCACUUGUUGUCUGAGUGACCCGCUGUUUCUAUCCUUGGGUGGAACCUGUGUGGCAUUAGGUUGUCGUGCAGGGGAUGCCCAUCAUUUACUGUGAAAAAAUUAGAGUGUUCAAAGCAGGCUUAUGCCGUUGAAUGCAUUAGCAUGGAAUAAUGAGAUAGGACUUUUUUGCUAUUUUGUUGGUUUGCGCAAAGAGGCAAUGAUU
rnacentral:rRNA from 1 species